rnacentral:lncRNA from 1 species
GGCUUCAGGCAUACGAGGUGAGUGCUCUAGCAACAGAGCUACAUUUCCAGUUUGACUGACCUUAGCCACCACACUACUGAGUUUAUUUAUAGUUUAUUUAGCACAGAUUAUGAACCACUUAGAUAUGAACCACUCAGCAUGUGAUGAAUAUUUCAUUCCCUCUGUAGCCUGACGUCAAGACCCCAAUGGCUAACGAAGCUAACCCUUGCCCAUGUGACAUUGGUCACAGGCUAGACUAUGGUGGCAUGGGCCAGGAAGUUCAGGUUGAGCACAUCAAGGCAUAUGUCACCCGGUCCCCUGUGGAUGCAGGCAAAGCUGUGAUUGUUGUCCAGGAUAUAUUUGGCUGGCAGCUGUCCAACACCAGGUAUAUGGCUGACAUGAUUGCUGGAAAUGGAUACACGUACGUAUGAAGUUCUAUUCUUUGUUUAAGUUUAUGUGAAUUUCUGUGGUCUGUUUUGUUCACUUCAGAAAGAAAAAAAAACAA